AUAAGUGGUCAUCAAGCCCAGAUGGGGGAGGAGCUGGAUCUUCAGAAAGGAAGGAGUAGCGGGCAGAGUGAUCCAGGUGAGAGAGUAACAGGAAGCCCAAGCUGGAGAGCCAGGUUGCAAGAAGAGGCAGACUACCAUGAAACUGGAGUGACCACCAGAAAAGGACAGUAGAGGAAGAAAUCCUGCUUAUGCCAUGCCCAGUCAUGUGAGGGUGCGCCAAUGAUUUUAGUCCAGCUGGUCUGAAGUCAAAAAAAUAUUUGGGGGAAGACGCUGUAUUUGAAAAGUGUGUGUGUAUAUAUAUGUAUAUAUAUCCACUACUUCUUAUGUUUGCAUAUAGAAAAGAACAUAACUUUCCUUGUCUUUAUCAGAGCUAUAGUUAAUAUAGCUUCUUUACUAUCUUUUUAUUUCACUCAUUGUCACCAUAGCUGGCUGUAGUCAGCGUCUGCAGCCUUGACUGAUGAUGACACUGUUCUGGUAACAGUAUUGUGAUGCUAAGCUGUUGCUAUAGAGUCAAGAGAGGACACACAGAUCAUUAUUUCUCUGGGAUCAUUUGUUGCCCGUUUCUUCUAAGCAGAGUGGUAGAUUUAAAAACUCUGCAUGGCAAAUGAUGUGAUCCUCACCACUCAGCAUCUGUCAGGACCUUCUACACUCUCUGGCACAACAGGGCCAAAUUCUGUGGCAACACAAACUUAUUCUUUUUCCUUGGAAUGCCCUUCAAUUGCCUGAAUUAUGGCUCAUAGAAAAUAAACUUAUCAAUGAUUUUCCACAAUGGGUUUUAGCUGUGUUCUCCAGAGACCUGUUUCCCGGAGGCUGAGCUGUGACAAUUUUGUCCACUUGACCCAAAUCAGAACUUCCUUCCCCUCUGUGUGUGCCAAGGAUGAGGGAGCUUAUAGUCAGGUUCAUUGGCCCAUUUCUUUGGGCCUAGAUGGCUGCAUAUUCUCCAGUCAGCACAGCUGGCCAGCCUCUGUUUCUGGCUUCCCCCUGGCUAAAAUCUGUAUCCCAGUGUUGUUUCCUGACUAGAGGUAGAGGUGUAGUCCUGAAUGGGUUGUGGAACACCCCUGCCAAUAUGACCUCCCAUGCAAAUGUGAGGUCAUGCUGUGCAGAGGAUGCCAUUUUGGGAGCAAUGGCAAAAGUGCCAAAAUGCUGUUCUGGCUCCAUUACACCUGUGAUUACAACUGGGCUGAUACUGAAUUUUUUUUUUCUUCCAACCUAAAACCAAAACACAACAUUUUGUUUCAAUUUCCCCUCCACUGGCCCUACCCACAGGCUCCCAAGGCUUGGGCUUCAGCUUUCAAAUCUAGAAAACUUUUCGUAUCAGAAAAUGACUUUAACUCAUCAUUUAGGCCUUGAGAGUUCUUCAAUGGCACCCAAAAAGAAAGUGAAGUGAAAUCUUCCUUUUAUCUACAGCUACUAUACAGGCAAUAAGAUGGCCAUCUUCCCCCGAGUAUCCAUUGGCUUCAGUGCUGGUAUGAAGAGAUCGUGAUUUGAGUGAGAGGUUUUUAAUCUUCAUUUCCAUUCAUUCUUGGUUCUCACAACUGAGAUGCUAAAUGGGUGCCAAUUAGUGUCAAGUAUAAUACUAAUUUUGGGGAUGUAGGCAUCUCUCCAUUAGGAAAGGCUCUGAAAUAGUUAACUCCUUUCAUAGAUCUCUAAACAGCUGUUUGACAGUAAUGACUUCUAGUGUUGAGUGAUGAGUGACAGACUCAUGCUACAGAUUAAGACUUACCAGUUAACUAAAGGCUCCCUGUACUAUUACUGAUGAUCUCUUGAGACAGGAUUCCCAACAUUCAAUUUAUUAGAGAAAUAAAUGAGCCUUUUUUUCCCCUUAAUCUGGAGAGGCCAUCUGCAUUUCAGCAGCAGAGACAGAAAAGGCUCAAUGAAAGAUAAAGUAUUUCUGAAAAUCAAGCAACCAAGCCAGCAAUAUCUGCAGAGUACUACAAACUUGUGGAGGCCCAGAACUACUGGAAAAAUGACUCUUUUUUGCUCCAGCCCCAAAUAUAUUGACACAGACCUGGAAGAUGUGCUUAAAACCAAAGCACUAAAGUUUACUGCCCAAUAAAGAAUGAUUCACACCAUCAAAGAUCUUCUGGAAAAUUGAUAAAUGUGGCAUUGACUACAUCAAAUCAUAAUUCUAAGAUAUGGCUUUAGGCAAAACUCAGCCCGUCUUGUAAAUUUCUAUAGUUCAUCUAAACUAUCUGUAAAUGAAUCUCUUGACAUAAUCUUAUACAGGCAGCAAGACAGAAGUGGGUUUAUAAGCAUUUUUACAGAAUAUCAGUCUGGUCUCUUUUUGAGGUACCUAAUGUAGCUCUGGCAGUGAUCAGCAGCAAGUAAACAUAGUCUAAAGAAGUGAAGUUCUGUAUAAGAUACAGCCUUGUGAUCAAAAUACAGACAAGAGACAAUAAGAUCCCCUCUGUAAUAAAACUAAAGACACGGGGAUGCAUCCAAAGCUUUUAUAUGGCUAAUGAUCUAGUUUGUAGUA